GUGGGGAAUUUUGGACAAUGGGCGCAAGCCUGAUCCAGCAAUGCCGCGUGCAGGAAGAAGGCCUUCGGGUUGUAAACUGCUUUUGUACGGAACGAAACGGUCCUGGUUAAUACCUGGGGCUAAUGACGGUACCGUAAGAAUAAGCACCGGCUAACUACGUGCCAGCAGCCGCGGUAAUACGUAGGGUGCGAGCGUUAAUCGGAAUUACUGGGCGUAAAGCGUGCACAGGCGGUGCUGUAAGACAGGCGUGAAAUCCCCGGGCUCAACCUGGGAAUUGCGCUUGUGACUGCAGUGCUGGAGUACGGCAGAGGGGGAUGGAAUUCCGCGUGUAGCAGUGAAAUGCGUAGAUAUGCGGAGGAACACCGAUGGCGAAGGCAGUCCCCUGAGCCUGUACUGACGCUCAUGCACGAAAGCGUGGGGAGCAAACAGGAUUAGAAACCCGAGUAGUCC
rnacentral:rRNA from 1 species